UACGUAGGGGGCUAGCGUUGUCCGGAAUCAUUGGGCGUAAAGAGCGUGUAGGCGGUCCGGUAAGUCCGUUGUGAAAGUCAGGGGCUCAACCCUUGAAUGCCGGCGGAUACUGUCGGGCUAGAGUCCGGAAGAGGCAAGUGGAAUUCCCGGUGUAGCGGUGAAAUGCGCAGAUAUCGGGAGGAACACCUAUGGCGAAGGCAGCUUGCUGGACGGUACUGACGCUGGAGAACGCGAAAGCGU
rnacentral:rRNA from 1 species